rnacentral:rRNA from 1 species
GUACACAAAAAUGCACAUGCUGUGAGCUCGAUGAGUAGGGCGGGACACGUGGUAUCCUGUCUGAAUAUGGGGGGACCAUCCUCCAAGGCUAAAUACUCCUGACUGACCGAUAGUGAACCAGUACCGUGAGGGAAAGGCGAAAAGAACCCCGGCGAGGGGAGUGAAAAAGAACCUGAAACCGUGUACGUACAAGCAGUGGGAGCACGCUUAGGCGUGUGACUGCGUACCUUUUGUAUAAUGGGUCAGCGACUUAUAUUCUGUAGCAAGGUUAACCGAAUAGGGGAGCCGAAGGGAAACCGAGUCU